UCGGACUGUAGUCUGCAACCCGACUACACGAAGCUGGAAUCGCUAGUAAUCGCGGAUCAGAAUGCCGCGGUGAAUACGUUCCCGGGUCUUGUACACACCGCCCGUCACACCAUGGGAGUCAGUAACGCCCGAAGUCAGUGACCUAACCGAAAGGGAGGAGCUGCCGAAGGCGGGACGGAUGACUGGGGUGAAGUCGUAACAAGGUAUC
rnacentral:rRNA from 1 species